rnacentral:rRNA from 1 species
AUUGAACGCUAGCGGGAUGCUUUACACAUGCAAGUCGAACGGCAGCGCGGACUUCGGUCUGGCGGCGAGUGGCGAACGGGUGAGUAAUGUAUCGGAACGUGCCCAGUAGCGGGGGAUAACUACGCGAAAGCGUAGCUAAUACCGCAUACGCCCUACGGGGGAAAGCAGGGGAUCGUAAGACCUUGCACUAUUGGAGCGGCCGAUAUCGGAUUAGCUAGUUGGUGAGGUAACGGCUCACCAAGGCGACGAUCCGUAGCUGGUUUGAGAGGACGACCAGCCACACUGGGACUGAGACACGGCCCAGACUCCUACGGGAGGCAGCAGUGGGGAAUGUUGGACAAAGGGGGCAACCCUGAUCCAGCCAUCCCGCGUGUGCGAUGAAGGCCUUCGGGUUGUAAAGCACUUUUGGCAGGAAAGAAACGUCGCGGGCUAAUACCCCGUGGAACUGACGGUACCUGCAGAAUAAGCACCGGCUAACUACGUG